rnacentral:rRNA from 1 species
UACGUAGGGGGCAAGCGUUGUCCGGAAUUACUGGGCGUAAAGGGCUCGUAGGCGGCCAACUAAGUCAGACGUGAAAUCCCUCGGCUUAACCGGGGAACUGCAUCUGAUACUGGAUGGCUUGAGUUCGGGAGAGGGAUGCGGAAUUCCAGGUGUAGCGGUGAAAUGCGUAGAUAUCUGGAGGAACACCGGUGGCGAAGGCGGCAUCCUGGACCAACACUGACGCUGAGUGAGCGAAAGCCAGGGGAGCAAACGGG